rnacentral:rRNA from 1 species
UCAAGCGAACAAGUGCAUGUGGUGGAUGCCUUGGCGAUCACAGGCGAUGAAGGACGCGGUAGCCUGCGAAAAGCCCCGGGGAGCUGGCAAACAAGCUUUGAUCCGGGGAUGUCCGAAUGGGGAAACCCACUCCGUAUGGAGUAUCCAUGACUGAAUACAUAGGUCAUGUGAAGCGAACGCGGUGAACUGAAACAUCUAAGUAACCGCAGGAAAAGAAAUCAACCGAGAUUCCCAAAGUAGUGGCGAGCGAAAUGGGAUGAGCCUUGUACUCUUUAUUUGUAUUGUUAGCCGAACGCUCUGGAAAGUGCGGCCAUAGCAGGUGAUAGCCCUGUAGGCGAAAACAGUAUGAAAGAACUAGGUGUACGACAAGUAGGGCGGGACACGUGAAAUCCUGUCUGAAGAUGGGGGGACCAUCCUCCAAGGCUAAAUACUCGUGAUCGACCGAUAGUGAACCAGUACCGUGAGGGAAAGGCGAAAAGAACCCCGGGAGGGGAGUGAAAUAGAUCCUGAAACCGCAUGCAUACAAACAGUCGGAGCCUCGUAAGGGGUGACGGCGUACCUUUUGUAUAAUGGGUCAGCGACUUACGUUCAGUAGCAAGCUUAACCGUAUAGGGCAGGCGUAGCGAAAGCGAGUCCGAAUAGGGCGUUCAGUUGCUGGGCGUAGACCCGAAACCAGGUGAUCUAUCCAUGGCCAGGAUGAAGGUGCGGUAACACGUACUGGAGGUCCGAACCCACUAACGUUGAAAAGUUAGGGGAUGAGCUGUGGAUAGGGGUGAAAGGCUAAACAAACCUGGAAAUAGCUGGUUCUCUCCGAAAACUAUUUAGGUAGUGCCUCGUGUCUCACCUUCGGGGGUAGAGCACUGUCAUGGUUGGGGGGUCUAUUGCAGAUUACCCCGCCAUAGCAAACUCCGAAUACCGAAGAGUGCAAUCACGGGAGACAGACAUCGGGUGCUAACGUCCGGUGUCAAGAGGGAAACAACCCAGACCGCCAGCUAAGGUCCCCAAAUAUGGCUAAGUGGGAAACGAAGUGGGAAGGCUAAAACAGUCAGGAGGUUGGCUUAGAAGCAGCCACCCUUUAAAGAAAGCGUAAUAGCUCACUGAUCGAGUCGUCCUGCGCGGAAGAUGUAACGGGGCUAAGCCAUAUACCGAAGCUGCGGAUGCGUGCUUGCACGCAUGGUAGGAGAGCGUUCCGUAAGCCUGCGAAGGUGCCUUGUAAAGGGUGCUGGAGGUAUCGGAAGUGCGAAUGCUGACAUGAGUAGCGAUAAAGGGGGUGAAAGGCCCCCUCGCCGUAAGCCCAAGGUUUCCUACGCAACGUUCAUCGGCGUAGGGUGAGUCGGCCCCUAAGGCGAGGCAGAAAUGCGUAGCUGAUGGGAAGCAGGUCAAUAUUCCUGCACCAUUGUUAGAUGCGAUGGGGGGACGGAUCGCGGAAGGUUGUCCGGGUGUUGGACGUCCCGGUCGCUGCAUUGGAGAAGGCGCUUAGGCAAAUCCGGGCGCAGGAUUCAAGGGUGUGGCGCGAGCGACUUCGGUCGCGAAGCAAUUGGAAGUGGUUCCAAGAAAAGCCUCUAAGCUUCAGUCUAACGAUGACCGUACCGCAAACCGACACAGGUGGGCGAGAUGAGUAUUCUAAGGCGCUUGAGAGAACUCGGGAGAAGGAACUCGGCAAAUUGGUACCGUAACUUCGGGAUAAGGUACGCCCUUGUAGCUUGACUGGCCUGCGCCAGGAGGGUGAAGGGGUUGCAAUAAACUGGUGGCUGCGACUGUUUAAUAAAAACACAGCACUCUGCAAACACGAAAGUGGACGUAUAGGGUGUGACGCCUGCCCGGUGCCGGAAGAUUAAAUGAUGGGGUGCAAGCUCUUGAUUGAAGUCCCGGUAAACGGCGGCCGUAACUAUAACGGUCCUAAGGUAGCGAAAUUCCUUGUCGGGUAAGUUCCGACCUGCACGAAUGGCGUAACGAUGGCCACACUGUCUCCUCCCGAGACUCAGCGAAGUUGAAGUGUUUGUGAUGAUGCAAUCUACCCGCGGCUAGACGGAAAGACCCCAUGAACCUUUACUGUAGCUUUGCAUUGGACUUUGAACCGAUCUGUGUAGGAUAGGUGGGAGGCUAUGAAACCGGAACGCUAGUUUCGGUGGAGCCGUCCUUGAAAUACCACCCUGGUUUGUUUGAGGUUCUAACCUUGGUCCGUGAUCCGGAUCGGGGACAGUGCAUGGUAGGCAGUUUGACUGGGGCGGUCUCCUCCCAAAGGGUAACGGAGGAGUACGAAGGUACGCUAGGUACGGUCGGAAAUCGUGCUGAUAGUGCAAUGGCAUAAGCGUGCUUAACUGCGAGACCGACAAGUCGAGCAGGUGCGAAAGCAGGUCAUAGUGAUCCGGUGGUUCUGUAUGGAAGGGCCAUCGCUCAACGGAUAAAAGGUACUCUGGGGAUAACAGGCUGAUACCGCCCAAGAGUUCAUAUCGACGGCGGUGUUUGGCACCUCGAUGUCGGCUCAUCUCAUCCUGGGGCUGUAGCCGGUCCCAAGGGUAUGGCUGUUCGCCAUUUAAAGAGGUACGUGAGCUGGGUUUAAAACGUCGUGAGACAGUUUGGUCCCUAUCUGCCGUGGGCGUUGGAUAUUUGAAGGGGGCUGCUCCUAGUACGAGAGGACCGGAGUGGACGAACCUCUGGUGUACCGGUUGUGACGCCAGUCGCAUCGCCGGGUAGCUAUGUUCGGAAGAGAUAACCGCUGAAAGCAUCUAAGCGGGAAACUCGCCUUAAGAUGAGAUAUCCCUGGAGGCUUGACCUCCUUGAAGGGUCGUUCGAGACCAGGACGUUGAUAGGUCGGGUGUGUAAGCGCAGUAAUGCGUUCAGCUAACCGAUACUAAUUGCCCGUAAGGCUUGAUC